rnacentral:rRNA from 1 species
AGAUUGAACGCUGGCGGCAGGCCUAACACAUGCAAGUCGAGCGGUAGAGAGGUGCUUGCACCUCUUGAGAGCGGCGGACGGGUGAGUAAUGCCUAGGAAUCUGCCUAGUGGUGGGGGAUAACGUUCGGAAACGGACGCUAAUACCGCAUACGUCCUACGGGAGAAAGCGGGGGACCUUCGGGCCUCGCGCCAUUAGAUGAGCCUAGGUCGGAUUAGCUAGUUGGUGAGGUAAUGGCUCACCAAGGCGACGAUCCGUAACUGGUCUGAGAGGAUGAUCAGUCACACUGGAACUGAGACACGGUCCAGACUCCUACGGGAGCAGCAGUGGGAAUAUUGGACAAUGGGCGAAAGCCUGAUCCAGCCAUGCCGCGUGCGUGAAGAAGGUCUUCGGAUUGUAAAGCACUUUAAGUGGAGAAGGUUGUAACUUAAUACGUUGCAACUUUGACGUUACCGACAGAAUAAGCACCGGCUAACUUCGUGCCAGCAGCCGCGGUAA